GGAGUUGUAGCUCAGAGGUAGAGCAUUUGCCUAGUAUGUGUGAGGCACUGGGUUCAAUUCCCAGCACCA
rnacentral:tRNA from 1 species